GGCUGGAUGGCAGAGUGGUUAUGCAACCGACUGCAGAUCGGUAUAGGUGAGUUCAAUUCUCACUCCAGCCU
rnacentral:tRNA from 2 species